ACUCCACACCAAUUCCACCUUGCCUAGGCAGCGCCAAAGCACCUUCUCUGAAAGCUGUUAAGUGAAGGCUGUGACUUCAGCCCCUUAGAUUCAGCUCUUGUCUGGGUGAUGGAGGACAAGGAUCUCGUCAGCUUCUCUGGGUUGGGACAGGCUGCAGCGUGGUCCAGACUCAGUUGAUCUUCCUGUGCUGAGACCCUCUAGCAGAAUCACAACAGAGAGACACGUGACCUCUGGACACUAUGCUGAGCCCCGAGCAUGGAUUGCCUGGAACACUUCAUUACUUGAAACACAGAGCAAGAAGCAGAAGUUACAAAUCAGGUGUUCUCUUUAAGAAGCUGUAUGGAGAGUUUG